UACAGAGGUGGCAAGCGUUGUUCGGAAUUACUGGGCGUAAAGGGCGCGUAGGUGGCCUUCUUAGUCAGACGUGAAAUCCCCAGGCUUAACCUGGGAACUGCGUCUGAUACUGGACGGCUUGAGUAUGGGAGAGGGAUGUAGAAUUCCAGGUGUAGCGGUGAAAUGCGCAGAUAUCUGGAGGAAUACCGGUGGCGAAGGCGGCAUCCUGGACCAUUACUGACGCUGAGGCGCGAAAGCUAGGGGAGCAAACGGG
rnacentral:rRNA from 1 species